rnacentral:rRNA from 1 species
AGAGUUUGAUCCUGGCUCAGGACGAACGCUGGCGGCGUGCCUAACACAUGCAAGUCGAGCGAUGAAGCUCCUUCGGGAGUGGAUUAGCGGCGGACGGGUGAGUAACACGUGGGCAACCUGCCUCAAAGUGGGGAAUAGCCCUCCGAAAGGAGGAUUAAUACCUCAUAAUAUGAAGGAAUCGCACGGUACCUUCAUUAAAGAUUUAUUGCUUUGAGAUGGGCCCGCGGCGCAUUAGCUAGUUGGUGAGGUAACGGCUCACCAAGGCGACGAUGCGUAGCCGACCUGAGAGGGUGAUCGGCCACAUUGGAACUGAGACACGGUCCAGACUCCUACGGGAGGCAGCAGUGGGGAAUAUUGCGCAAUGGGGGGAACCCUGACGCAGCAACGCCGCGUGAGUGAUGAAGGUCUUCGGAUUGUAAAACUCUGUCUUCAGGGACGAUAAUGACGGUACCUGAGGAGGAAGCCACGGCUAACUACGUGCCAGCAGCCGCGGUAAUACGUAGGUGGCAAGCGUUGUCCGGAUUUACUGGGCGUAAAGAGUAUGUAGGCGGAUAUUUAAGUCAGAUGUGAAAUUCCCGGGCUUAACCUGGGAGCUGCAUUUGAUACUGGAUAUCUAGAGUGCAGGAGAGGAAAGUGGAAUUCCUAGUGUAGCGGUGAAAUGCGUAGAGAUUAGGAAGAACACCAGUGGCGAAGGCGACUUUCUGGACUGAAACUGACGCUGAGGCACGAAAGCGUGGGGAGCGAACAGGAUUAGAUACCCUGGUAGUCCACGCCGUAAACGAUGAGUGCUAGGUGUCGGAGGGGAACCUUCGGUGCCGCAGCAAACGCAAUAAGCACUCCACCUGGGGAGUACGAUCGCAAGAUUGAAACUCAAAGGAAUUGACGG